UAGACCUACGGGGGGCAGCAGUGAGGAAUAUUGGUCAAUGGGCGGGAGCCUGAACCAGCCAAGCCGCGUGAGGGAAGAAGGUACAGCGUAUCGUAAACCUCUUUUGUCAGGGAACAAAGGCGGGGACUAGUCCCCGGAUGAGGGUACCUGAAGAAAAAGCAUCGGCUAACUCCGUGCCAGCAGCCGCGGUAAUACGGAGGAUGCGAGCGUUAUUCGGAUUUAUUGGGUUUAAAGGGUGCGUAGUCGGGAUGC
rnacentral:rRNA from 1 species